UCCUGAUCAGACCUCGACCUCCAAUGUGAGCUUUGGCCGUCGGGAAGCGGAACUGACCUGGUAUGGCAGCGUAGGCCUGGGGGGCGUAAAACACGGGCGGACCGAGGUACGCCGCUGAGGGAUCGUACACCUGGAGGAGAACGAGUACCUGGUCUGAGGCUGUUGAACUCCUUCUCGAUGGUCUCCUCGGUUGUCUGAAGCAUCAGGUUCCUGACGUACAGUAUCUUGACAGAGGCCAUGGUAUCCUCGUCCACCUCAACCUCUGGCUCCGCCCAGUCCACGGCGAUGGCAUGACCCCACAGCUGAAUACGACCUGAUGGAGGCGACAGAAUCACAUUUUCCCUCGAGAUUGAAGGAAGGAAGGAAGGAAGGAAGGAAGGAAGGAAGGAAGGAAGGAAGGAAGGAAGGAAGGAACCCCGUCUUCCUUGGCUUGUUUUCCAGACUUUUUCCAGUUCCAGUUUCUUUUCUUCAUCAUGUAAGAUCACCUUAUUUUCCUCGAAGGCGGAGCGGAUAACUUUGAAUCAAAGAGACAAUAAAUAUCUAAAGAAACCAAAAAGAUUUUAAGCACUACAGUUUGAGGCAACCUGGGGAUCCUUAAGGGUCCUCAAAAAAACUCAAAAAACCUUUUGGAUCCUGAAAGCAACACUGCAAAUGGCUUAAUAAUGUAAAAAAAAAAAACCUGGAUUAGACUCUGAAGAGCCCAAAGGAAACCCAGAAGAACCUUUUGGAAGCUCUGACAACAUCUGAUGCAAUUUAGGGACGGCUUGAAGACCUUUAAAAUCGUAAGAGUUAAGUACUUUGAGGAAAAUCUUUGGGGGACUUCUGGCAAUCUGAAGGACACCAGUGACUCUUAGUUACCCGAAGACUCUUAUGGAUCUCUUUUAAAGUAUCUUAGACACACUUUUAAGACCUUGAGGAAAAUAAGGGGUUGCCUUGGGACCUUUAGUUACCCAGAAAGUAACUGAAGUACCUUUUUUACAAAUCCUGGAAAUCAUCAAGACUCUGAAGAUAUCUGAGGAAAUCUGGGGACAGCUAAAGACCUUGAAGAUCCCACGAAUUAGGAAUUAGGUCGCCUAAGGACCUUGAGUCACAAGCAUAAAUUGAAGUACCUUUUACAAAUCCUGGAAAUCAUAAAGACUCUGAAGAUAUCUGAGGAAAUCUGGGGACAGCUAAAGACCUUGAAGAUCCCACGAAUUAGGAAUUAGGUCGCCUAAGGACCUUGAGUCACCCAACAUAAAGUGAAGUACCUUUUACAAAUCCUGGAAAUCACUAAGGAUUUUGGAAGGAAAUCUGGGCACGGCUAACCUCGAAGAUCCUAAGAGUUAAGUACUUUGAGGAAACUCUUUGGGGACUCCUGGCAAUCUGAAGGACACAGGUACUCUCAGUUACCCGAAGACUAUUAUGGAUCUCUUUUGAAGUAUCUUAGAGGGACUUUUAAGACCCUGAGGAAAAUAGGGGGUCACCUUGGGACCUUUAGUUACCCAGAAAGAAACUAAAGUAGUUCUUUGGGGAUCCCCAAGUCAACCAAUGGGCACCCUCCGGACUACUGACAUCUGACCGAAAACAAGGAACUGGAGAGACUUUCAAGACCCUGACCUGAAAGAAACUGAUCCUGGAAAUCACUGAGGAUUUCGGAAGGACGUCGGGGGACGGAUAAAGACCCUGAAGAUCCAACGAGUACUUUGAGAAGCCCUAUAGGGACCCUCACAAUCCAAAGGAAAUCUGGGGACCACAGAGGGACCCCGAACACUUCAGAGGAAGUCUGAGAACUAGGGGUCGACCCAUACUGGUUUUACAGGGCCGAUAUGAUUCUAAGUAGUACAUGAAACUGAUAACGAUAUUUAAAACCGAAAUGCAUUUAAAGUAAAAAAAAAAAAAACAACCUUUCAGUCAAAAUUAAGAUUGAAAACUAAAUACUCUGAUACAAGUACAUGACUUGCAUUUACAAAUCUUGAGUAAAUACAAAAUUUAAACAAUACUAAAUGUCUGUUUUAAACUAACAUUGGAUGCAUUCAAGACUUAAAAGUUGAAGCUGGUAAAGGUGGAUCUCAGACAGACACAAAGCCAAAGUAACACACUUAUUAAAAAAUUAACUUUAUUGCUUAUCGGUCAAAUAAAAGGAGAACACAGAUAAUCUGCAAAUCGCCACAAAAACAGCACAGAUAAUUGGCCUGCUCCUGGUCUUCGGUAGGGUUGGGUCCACUAUGGAACCGGUAGGAACUGGACUGGAUUAGAACGUACAUUUCGGUUCCUCGUUUUGGUUCCACUUAAUGUGUCAACUGAAAUAUUUUCCCUCUGUCGCUCCGAAACGGACGUAAAAAAAU